AUUGAACGCUGGCGGCAGGCCUAACACAUGCAAGUCGAGCGGCAGCGGGAAAGUAGCUUGCUACUUUUGCCGGCGAGCGGCGGACGGGUGAGUAAUGCCUGGGGAUCUGCCCAGUCGAGGGGGAUAACUACUGGAAACGGUAGCUAAUACCGCAUACGCCCUACGGGGGAAAGCAGGGGACCUUCGGGCCUUGCGCGAUUGGAUGAACCCAGGUGGGAUUAGCUAGUUGGUGAGGUAACGGCUCACCAAGGCGACGAUCCCUAGCUGGUCUGGGAGGAUGAUCAGCCACACUGGAACUGAGACACGGUCCAGACUCCUACGGGAGGCAGCAGUGGGGAAUAGUGCACAAUGGGGGAAACCCUGAUGCAGCCAUGCCGCGUGUGUGAAGAAGGCCUUCGGGUUGUAAAGCACUUUCAGCGAGGAGGAAAGGUCAGUAGCUAAUAUCUGCUGGCUGUGACGUUACUCGCAGAAGAAGCACCGGCUAACUCCGUGCCAGCAGCCGCCGUAA
rnacentral:rRNA from 1 species